rnacentral:rRNA from 1 species
ACUCCUACGGGAGGCAGCAGUGGGGAAUUUUUCGCAAUGGGCGAAAGCCUGACCCAGCAACGCCGCGUGCACGAUGAAGGUCUUCGGAUCGUAAAGUGCUUUUCUGAGAGAUGAGAAAGGACAGUAUCUCAGGAAUAAGUCUCGGCUAACUACGUGCCAGCAGCCGCGGUAAAACGUAGGAGGCAAGCGUUAUCCGGAUUUACUGGGCGUAAAGCGUGUGCAGGUGGUUUGGUAAGUUGGAUGUGAAAGCUCCUGGCUCAACUGGGAGAGGUCGUUCMAUACUACCAGACUUGAGAGCAGUAGAGGGAGGUGGAAUUCCCGGUGUAGUGGUGAAAUGCGUAGAUAUCGGGAGGAACACCAGUGGCGAAAGCGGCCUCCUGGACUGUUUCUGACACUCAGACACGAAAGCUAGGGUAGCAAACGGGAUUAGAGACCCCGGUAGUCCUAGCUGUAAACGAUGUGAACUUGGCGUCGGCGGGUUCAAAGCCGUCGGUGCCGAAGCUAACGCGAUAAGUUCACCGCCUGGGGACUACGGCCGCAAGGUUAAAACUCAAAUGAAUUGACGG